rnacentral:rRNA from 1 species
GACGGAGGAUGCAAGCGUUAUCCGGAAUUACUGGGCGUAAAGUGUGCGCAGGCGGCCGAGCAAGUCGAGUGUGAAAGCCCCGGGCUUAACUUGGGAAUUGCGCUCGAAACUACUUGGCUGGAGUGUGGCAGAGGAAGGUGGAAGUUCCAGGUGUAGCGGUGGAAAUGACGUAGAGAUCUGGAGGAACACCGAUGGCGAAGGCAGCCUUCUGGGCCAACACUGACGCUCAUGCACGAAAGCGUGGGGAGCAAACAGG